AGUGUAGGCGGGAUCGUAAGUUAGGAGUUUAAUACAUGGGCUUAACCCAUGAGCUGCUUUUAAUACUGCGGUUCUUGAGUAUGGGAGAGGGCGAUGGAAUUCCAGGUGUAGCGGUGGAAUGCGUAGAUAUCUGGAAGAACACCAGUAGCGAAGGCGGUCGCCUGGCCCAAUACUGACGCUGAUGCUCGAAAGCUAGGGGAGCAAACAGGAUUAGAUACCCUGGUAGUCCCUAGCCGUAAACGAUGGACGCUAGUUGCUGGAGGAGUCAAUCCUUUCGGUGACGAAGCUAACGCAUUAAGUGUCCCGCCUGGGGAGUACGUUCGCAAGGAUGAA
rnacentral:rRNA from 1 species